GGCGGCUGAUUAAGUCGGAUGUGAAAUCCCUGAGCUUAACUUAGGAAUUGCAUUCGAUACUGGUCAGCUAGAGUAUGGGAGAGGAUGGUAGAAUUCCAGGUGUAGCGGUGAAAUGCGUAGAGAUCUGGAGGAACAUCAAUGGCGAAGGCAACUCCCUGGCCAAAGACUGACGCUCAUGUGCGAAAGUGUGGGUAGCGAACAGGAUUAGAUACCCUGGUAGUACACGCCGUAAACGAUGUCUACUAG
rnacentral:rRNA from 1 species